rnacentral:rRNA from 1 species
GAUGAACGCUGGCGGCGUGCCUAAUACAUGCAAGUCGAGCGAACAGACGAGGAGCUUGCUCCUCUGACGUUAGCGGCGGACGGGUGAGUAACACGUGGAUAACCUACCUAUAAGACUGGGAUAACUUCGGGAAACCGGAGCUAAUACCGGAUAAUAUAUUGAACCGCAUGGUUCAAUAGUGAAAGACGGUUUUGCUGUCACUUAUAGAUGGAUCCGCGCCGCAUUAGCUAGUUGGUAAGGUAACGGCUUACCAAGGCAACGAUGCGUAGCCGACCUGAGAGGGUGAUCGGCCACACGGGAAGUGAGACACGGUCCAGACGCCUACGGGAGGCAGCAGUAGGGAAUCUUCCGCAAUGGGCGAAAGCCUGACGGAGCAACGCCGCGUGAGUGAUGAAGGUCUUCGGAUCGUAAAACUCUGUUAUUAGGGAAGAACAAAUGUGUAAGUAACUAUGCACGUCUUGACGGUACCUAAUCAGAAAGCCACGGCUAACUACGUG